rnacentral:tRNA from 1 species
GCCGAGGUGGCGAAAUUGGUAGACGCAAAGGACUUAAAAUCCUUCGGACGCGAGUCUGUGCCGGUUCGAGUCCGGCCCUCGGCA